rnacentral:rRNA from 1 species
GUAAGUUAUUAAGGGCACACGGUGGAUGCCUUGGCAUUAAGAGCCGAUGAAGGACGUGUGAAUCUGCGAUAAGCCUCGGGGAGCCGAUAACUGGGCUGUGAUCCGAGGAUUUCCGAAUGGGGAAACCUGGCUCAUCUUCAUGGUGAGUUACCGCCAGCUGAAUGUAUAGGCUGGUUGGGGGGAACGCGGGGAAGUGAAACAUCUCAGUACCCGCAGGAAGAGAAAAUAAAGUAAUGAUUCUGUGAGUAGUGGCGAGCGAAAGCGGAAGAGACUAAACCUGUGGUGUGUGAUAGCGGUUAGGCGUUGCAUCAUGGGGGUUGUGGGAGUCACAGUGGCAGUUCUAACUGGCUGCCGGCAUGAUGUUCAGGAUGGUAGGUGAACGACUUGGAAUGGUCGGCCGUAGAGGGUGAGAGUCCCGUAAUCGAAAUUGUUCUGUCCGUGGUGUGGCCACCCGAGUAGCACGGGGCUCGUGGAAUCUCGUGUGAAUCUGCCAGGACCACCUGGUAAGUCUAAAUACUUCUUAGUGACCGAUAGUGAAUCAGUACCGUGAGGGAAUGGUGAAAAGUACCCCGGGAGGGGAGUGAAAUAGUACCUGAAACCGUGUGCUUACAAGCCGUUGGAGCCUUUUGGGGUGACAGCGUGCCUUUUGAAGAAUGAGCCUGCGAGUUAGUGUUAUGUCGCGAGGUUAACCCGUGUGGGGUAUCCGUAGCGAAAGCGAGUCUGAAUAGGGCGUUUGAGUGGCAUGACCUAGACCCGAAGCGGAGUGAUCUAUCCAUGGCCAGGUUGAAGCGACGGUAAGACGUCGUGGAGGACCGAACCCACUUCAGUUGAAAAUGGAGGGGAUGAGCUGUGGAUAGGGGUGAAAGGCCAAUCAAACUCUGUGAUAGCUGGUUCUCCCCGAAAUGCAUUUAGGUGCAGCGUUACGUGUUUCUUGCCGGAGGUAGAGCUACUGGAUGGCCGAUGGGCCUUCACGGGUUACUGACGUCAGCUAAACUCCGAAUGCCGGUAAGUGAGAGNGUAGCAGUGAGACAGUGGGGGAUAAGCUUCAUUGUCGAGAGGGAAACAGCCCAGACCACCAACUAAGGCCCCUAAGCGUGUGCUAAGUGGGAAAGGAUGUGGAGUUGCUNAGACAACCAGGAGGUUGGCUUAGAAGCAGCCAUCCUUGAAAGAGUGCGUAACAGCUCACUGGUCAAGUGAUUCUGCGCCGAUAAUGUAGCGGGGCUCAAGUACACCGCCGAAGUUGUGGCAAUGACCUUUUUUGGUUGUUGGGUAGGGGAGCGUCGUGUGGCCGGUGAAGCUGCGGUGUAAACCAGUGGUGGAGGCUAUGCGAGUGAGAAUGCAGGCAUGAGUAGCGAAAGAUGAGUGAGAAACUCAUCCGCCGGAUGAUCAAGGGUUCCAGGGUCAAGUUAAUCUGCCCUGGGUUAGUCGGGGCCUAAGGCGAGGCCGACAGGCGUAGUCGAUGGAUAACGGGUUGAUAUUCCCGUACCGGUGAAAAACCGCCCAUACUGAUAUUGUGAUGCUAACCAUGCGAAGCAUGAUGUGCAGGCUUUUGUUUGUGUGUUGUGUGGGUUGUGGGAACCGAUCUUUGGAGGUAAACGUGUUAACAGGUGUGACGCAGGAAGGUAGCCAAGCCACGCGAUGGUUGUCGUGGUCUAAGCGUGUAGGGUUGUCGGUUGUUAAAUGGUCGCCGGCUGUGUGCCUGAGACGUGAUGGGACCCCGUUUUUGGGGGAUUUGGUGAUCCUAUGCUGCCGAGAAAAGCAUCGGCGUGAGGUUUUAGCCGCCCGUACCCUAAACCGACACAGGUGAUCAGGUAGAGAAUACUAAGGCGAUCGAGAGAAUCAUGGUUAAGGAACUCGGCAAAAUGCCCCCGUAACUUCGGGAGAAGGGGGGCCCCAACCUUGAGCACCACGUGCUGGUGUGAGGGGAUCGGGGCCGCAGAGACCAGGGGGAAGCGACUGUUUAUCAAAAACACAGGUCCAUGCGAAGUCGUAAGACGAUGUAUACGGACUGACUCCUGCCCGGUGCUGGAAGGUUAAGGGGAACUGUUAGCUUUGGCGACGCGGUGAACUUAAGCCCCAGUAAACGGCGGUGGUAACUAUAACCAUCCUAAGGUAGCGAAAUUCCUUGUCGGGUAAG